rnacentral:lncRNA from 1 species
GUGAGCCAAUUUGUGAGAUUCUCUUUGUACAUUUGUUAUCUCAAUCAGUUAAUAAAUAGGGAGUUAUUUAUUUCAUUCUAUUUGUUCCAUUUGGUGCUCUAAGCAUAACAUAAAUUUCGUUUCCCCAAUCCUCGAUUAAAAGAAAUUUAUAUAUUGGGCCAGAGAUUUACCAGCAAACAAUUGUUUGUUGCAAGAACGAUACAAGCAUUGUUGGCUGCGUUUGUUCUGGGCACUACUUUUAUGAAUGCUGCAAAAGACCCAAGAGGAGCCAAACUACAAACACUAAUGGGGGUUUUUUGCCUUCAGCCUAGCCUUUUUGCUUUCAUGCACAACAGAAGGCCUCCCAAUAUAUUUGCGAGAAAGAAGGAUACUAAUGAGAGAAACUUCAAGAUGAGCUUAUAGAGUUUCUUCUUAUGUCAUACCAAACACUCUAGUGUUCCUCCCUUUCCUUCUAAUUGUUGCUCUUCGUUUUGCCGUCCCUAUCUACUGGUUAGUCUGAUUGCACAAGGAAGUUGAUGGGUUUCUCUAUUUUUCACUAGUGGCUUGAAUGGUCAUUCUCAUGUCCAAUUCUUUUGUUGCAUGUUUUAGUGCUCUUGUUUCAAACUAUAUCAUUGGGAACAUCUUUAAUUGCAGGGACAAUGGGGUCCUUUUUUCUCUUUUGUGGGUAUUUCGUAUAUCCAAGAAUGACAUACCCAGCUACUGGAUUUUCAUUCACUAUUUGAGUUUGUUCAAGUACCCACUUGAGUGUUUUAUGAUAAAUGAGUAUGGAGGAGAGCAGGGAAGGAGGAAUGCUGCUAUAGUUGAUGGAGCAUGUGUGUAUGUAUGGUGAUAAAUUUUUGAUGCUGAAGAGAGGCUUUAAACAAUCAAAAAAAUGGACUAAUUUCGGUGUAAUAAUGGGUUUCACCCUCGGGUAUAGAUUACUUUGUUUUUUUUAUUCUGUCUUACAGAUUAUAUAGAACAAGAAACUAGAAAAGUUUUGCAACCCCAUAAAGAAAGGGAAAUUUUUUUUGAAAAAGAAUGUGUUUUUGUGUGUUCUUUUUCUUUAUAUAUCAAUAAAUUGGUUCAUGAAAAUGAUCUUGUAUACUUUUUCACUUAUUAAAUUAAUUCUUCUAACUAUCUAAUAAUAUUGUCUCACUCAUGAAGGCAAACUGCUAAAUUUGAUGGCUACCUAAUACACUUUUUCUCUUGUAUUUUCAUCUUGAUGGUACAUGUAUGAGAUCAUUUCUUGGUAAACAAUAACCUGUCACCUUUUUUUUUAACAAGUAAUAAUGCACAUUGUUACAAUAUAAU